ACUCUUCGGAGUUAGUGGCGGACGGGUGAGUAACACGUGGGAACGUGCCUUUAGGUUCGGAAUAACUCAGGGAAACUUGUGCUAAUACCGAAUGUGCCCUUCGGGGGAAAGAUUUAUCGCCUUUAGAGCGGCCCGCGUCUGAUUAGCUAGUUGGUGAGGUAAAGGCUCACCAAGGCGACGAUCAGUAGCUGGUCUGAGAGGAUGAUCAGCCACAUUGGGACUGAGACACGGCCCAAACUCCUACGGGAGGCAGCAGUGGGGAAUCUUGCGCAAUGGGCGAAAGCCUGACGCAGCCAUGCCGCGUGAAUGAUGAAGGUCUUAGGAUUGUAAAAUUCUUUCACCGGGGACGAUAAUGACGGUACCCGGAGAAGAAGCCCCGGCUAACUUCGUGCCAGCAGCCGCGGUAAUACGAAGGGGGCUAGCGUUGCUCGGAAUUACUGGGCGUAAAGGGAGCGUAGGCGGACAUUUAAGUCAGGGGUGAAAUCCCGGGGCUCAACCUCGGAAUUGCCUUUGAUACUGGGUGUCUUGAGUAUGAGAGAGGUGUGUGGAACUCCGAGUGUAGAGGUGAAAUUCGUAGAUAUUCGGAAGAACACCAGUGGCGAAGGCGACACACUGGCUCAUUACUUGACGCUGAGCUCGAAAGCGUGGGGAGCAAACAGAUAGAUACCCUGUAGUC
rnacentral:rRNA from 1 species